GAUUAGUACCGUAAAACGAGGUGACUUUGAGAUCCGGGGCGACAUUGAUGAUUACUCAAAAUUUAUGGUUUUACUUAUUUUUAUAUUUGGAAUGGAACGUAAUAAUUUUUAUUUUUAUUGUGUUGGCAAGACUGACUCAUCAGCCAUGUUUUCCGAAAACGUCGAGGUGAGAGGAUUGCUAAUCAGAAUGGUUCGGACUUACAAGAAAACUCCGGGUACCCGCAACUACAAAAAUUAUAGUAAUGAGACCAAGUUAUUGUUGUAAGUAUUGUUGUAAGUUGUAAGUAUUUAUUAUUACAAUGAGACCUAUUUACAAGUUUCCGACUGAAGUAAUGAUUAAAGAGUUGUGAAGAAACCUUCUACUAAUUUAAAAAAUGUGGCAUUAUUUCUAUUGCUUAUAUUUUCUAUGUUUUAAUUUUUUUUUAUUUUUUUAAGUCUGUACCACGUACAAAUAAUUCUAAGAAUGAUUGUGUGACCAUGUUGAUAAUUGCGUAGAAAUAUUUAGUUUUGAUAAUUAUGUUACCUACCUACUAGGUACUUUUUGAUCUCUGAUUACCCACCUAUUAUGAUUGUUGAGACUGAUUAUUAUAACAGAAAUUAGUAAAAACUUUAGAAAGUUUGAUAUUAUUAUUAAUAUACUGACUGAUGUUGAUUAGAUAAAAAGUUUAAAAAUUA